rnacentral:tRNA from 3 species
GGGCGCAUAGCUCAGUUGGUAGAGCAUCUGCCUUACAAGCAGAGGGUCAUAGGUUCGAAUCCUGUUGCGCCCACCA